rnacentral:sRNA from 1 species
AGUUUUACAACUAUCAAUGAUGACUACUUCUCUGAUGGAGAUGAUGACUUUAACCCUAACAUAGGUCACCAAGAUUCCCGACGUGCAUCCAGCAUUCGAAAACUUAACGCAGGCUCAAGAUACAGACU